rnacentral:tRNA from 1 species
CCGACCUUAGCUCAGUUGGCAGAGCGGAGGACUGUAGAUCCUUAGGUCGCUGGUUCGAAUCCGGCAGGUGGGA